rnacentral:rRNA from 1 species
UGCCUGAUGGAGGGGGAUAACUACUGGAAACGGUAGCUAAUACCGCAUAACGUCGCAAGACCAAAGUGGGGGACCUUCGGGCCUCACGCCAUCAGAUGUGCCCAGAUGGGAUUAGCUAGUAGGUGGGGUAAUGGCUCACCUAGGCGACGAUCCCUAGCUGGUCUGAGAGGAUGACCAGCCACACUGGAACUGAGACACGGUCCAGACUCCUACGGGAGGCAGCAGUGGGGAAUAUUGCACAAUGGGCGCAAGCCUGAUGCAGCCAUGCCGCGUGUGUGAAGAAGGCCUUCGGGUUGUAAAGCACUUUCAGCGAGGAGGAAGGCAGUAAGGUUAAUAACCUUGCUGAUUGACGUUACUCGCAGAAGAAGCACCGGCUAACUCCGUGCCAGCAGCCGCGGUAAUACGGAGGGUGCAAGCGUUAAUCGGAAUGACUGGGCGUAAAGCGCACGCAGGCGGUUUGUUAAGUUGGAUGUGAAAUCCCCGGGCUUAACCUGGGAACUGCAUUCAAAACUGGCAAGCUAGAGUCUCGUAGAGGGGGG